rnacentral:rRNA from 1 species
GAUGAACGCUGGCGGCGUGCCUAAUACAUGCAAGUCGAGCGAACGGACGAGAAGCUUGCUUCUCUGAUGUUAGCGGCGGACGGGUGAGUAACAUGUGGAUAACCUACCUAUAAGACUGGGAUAACUUCGGGAAACCGUAGCUAAUACCGGAUAAUAUUUUGAACUGCAUGGUUCAAAAGUGAAAGUCGGUCUUUCUGUCACUUAUAGAUGGAUACGCGCUGCAUUAGCUAGUUGGUAAGGUAACGGCUUACCAAGGCAACGAAGCAUAGCCGACCUGGAAGGGUGAUCGGCCACGCUGGAACUGAGGCACGGUCAGGACUCCUGCGGGAGGCAGCAGUAGGGAAUCUUCCGCAAUGGGCGAAAGCCUGACGAAGCAACGCCGCGUGAGUGAUGAAGGUCUUCGGAUCGUAAAACUCUGUUAUUAGGGAAGAACAUAUGUGUAAGUAACUGUGCACAUCUUGACGGUACCUGAUCAGAAAGCCACGGCUAACUACGUG